rfam:Triticum aestivum genome assembly, contig: Triticum_aestivum_CS42_TGACv1_scaffold_249558_3DL
UCAAUACUUUCUCCGUUCGAAAAAACUUGUCCCUCAAAUGAAUGUAUCUAGCACUAUUUAGCAUCAAGUUAGUGCUAGAUACAACCAUUUGAGGAACAAGUUCAAGACAAGCUUUUUCGGACGGAGGGAGUACAUC